CCCUUAGAUGUUCUGGGCCGCACGCGCGCUACAAUGAUGAAUUCAACGAGUUUAUAACCUUGGUUGAAAAGCCUGGGUAAUCUUUUGAACUUUCGUCGUGAUGGGGCUAGACCCUUGCAAUUAUUGGUCUCCAACGAGGAAUGCCUAGUAAACGCAAGUCAUCAGCUUGCAUUGAUUACGUCCCUGCCCUUUGUACACACCGCCCGUCGCUCCUACCGAUUGAAUGAUCCGAUGAAUAUCAUGGACUGAGAGUGUUAGAGUUUUCGGACUUCUACACUUCUCGGGAAGUGAAGUGAAUCUUAUCAUUUAGAGGAAGGAGAAGUCGUAACA
rnacentral:rRNA from 1 species